GCAAGUCGUGCGCGAAAGUCUUCGGACGAGUAAAGCGGCGAAAGGGUGAGUAACACGUAACCAACGUACCCCUAAGAUUGGAAUAACCUCUGGAAACGGUGGGUAAUGCCAAAUGGUCCCCCGGCAGGCAUCUGCUGGAGGGUAAACGGCGGCUUCGGCUGUUGCUUAGGGAGCGGGUUGCGGCCUAUCAGUUUGUUGGUGGGGUAACGGCCUACCAAGACGAUGACGGGUAGCGGGUCUGAGAGGAUGAUC
rnacentral:rRNA from 1 species